UUGCGGCGGCAGCAGCGGGACUAGCGGGGUGUGUAGUAGCCUUGGGAUACAAAAGAAUAAAGCCUCCCCCUCCAAAGGUUUGUGGUUCUCCAAAUGGUCCUCCUAUUACUUCACCAAGAAUCAAGCUCAGUGACGGAAGGCAUUUAUCUUAUAGAGAGAGGGGUGUUCCAAAAGAAAUUGCUAAGUACAAGGUUAUUCUCGUCCAUGGCUUUGACAGCUCCAAGGACAUAUAUUUGCCACUAUCUCAAGAGGUGAUGGAAGAGCUGAGUGUAUAUGUCCUUACCUUUGACAGAGCAGGAUAUGGAGAAAGUGAUCCAAACCCAAAAAGAUCAGUGAAGAGUGAAGCAUUUGACAUUCAAGAACUAGCUGAUCAAUUACAUCUAGGACCCAAGUUUCAUGUGAUUGGAGUUUCCAUUGGAACCCAUUCCAUUUGGGCUUGCCUCAAAUAUAUCCCACACAGGCUAGCAGGUGUGACUCUAGUAGUUCCAGUCAUAAAUUUCUGGUGGCCUUCUUUCCCUCCUAAACUAGCAAAAGAGGUCUUUAGGAAGCAACUCAAGAGGGAUCAAGUCAAACUGAGCAUUGCACACUACAUCCCUACACUUGUAUACUGGUGGAUGACUCAGAAGCUCUUCCCUUACUCCUCUAUCAUGCAGAGACACCCAAUUCUACUAAACAGAAGAGAUUUAGAAACUAUAAAGCAAAUGUCUCAAGUGCCAAAUCCUGAUGAGCACAAGGUUAGGCAGCAAGGAGUCCAUGAAUCACUGCAUAGAGACAUGAUUGUGCAUUUUGGGAAAUGGGAAUUUGAUCCAAUGAAGCUAAAGAAUCCAUUUCCUGAUAAUGAGGCUUGUGUUUACCUGUGGGAAGGUCAUGAAGACAAGUUGGUGCCAUUUGAAUUGCAGAGAUAUGUUGCUCAGAAGCUGCCAUGGAUCAAAUAUCAUGAAGUUCCUGAUGGUGGUCAUUUGAUGAUUCAUGAGAAGGGCUUGUGUGAGGCUAUAUUCAGGGAACUUUUGCUUGGAGAAGAACCCUCCUUUUGAUCUGCAAGAAACUAUUCAGGGCUGCUAUUCUGCAUGAAAAUUCCUACAUUUUGGGUUACCAUUAGAUCCAUUUAAAGGCAUAAAUAAAUUUUCAUAUAUCAAAUUGAUAACCAAAAUUUUGCUUGUAGUGUCCUGGUUUACUUGGCAUUUGGCAUUUGCUUCUGUGCAAAUGUAAAUGCGCAUGUGAAUU
rnacentral:misc_RNA from 1 species